rnacentral:rRNA from 1 species
CCUACGGGAGGCAGCAGUGGGGAAUAUUGCACAAUGGGGGAAACCCUGAUGCAGCGACGCCGCGUGAGUGAAGAAGUAUCUCGGUACGUAAAGCUCUAUCAGCAGGGAAGAAAAUGACGGUACCUGACUAAGAACCCCCGGCUAACUACGUGCCAGCAGCCGCGGUAAUACGUAGGGGGCAAGCGUGAUCCGGAUUUACUGGGUGUAAAGGGAUCGUAGACGGCAGCACAAUUCUGGAGUGAAAUCCCGGGGCUUAACCCCGGACCUGCUUUGGAAACUGGGCGGCUGGAGUGCAGGAGGGGUAAGCGGAAUUCCUAGUGGAGCGGUGAAAUGCGUAGAUAUUAGGAGGAACACCGGUGGCGAAGGCGGAUUACUGGACUGUAACUGACGUUGAGGGUCGAAAGCGUGGGGAGCAAACAGGAUUAGAUACCCUUGUAGUC